rnacentral:rRNA from 1 species
UACGUAGGGUGCAAGCGUUGUCCGGAAUUAUUGGGCGUAAAGAGCUCGUAGGCGGUUUGUCGCGUCUGCUGUGAAAACUCGGGGCUUAACCCCGGGCCUGCAGUGGGUACGGGCAGACUAGAGUGCGGUAGGGGAGACUGGAAUUCCUGGUGUGGCGGUGAAAUGCGCAGAUAUCAGGAGGAACACCGGUGGCGAAGGCGGGUCUCUGGGCCGUAACUGACGCUGAGGAGCGAAAGCAUGGGGAGCGAACAGG